rnacentral:rRNA from 1 species
UACGGAGGGGGCGAGCGUUAUUCGGAAUUAUUGGGCGUAAAGGGCGCGUAGGUGGCCCGGUAAGUCAAAGGUGAAAUCCCUCGGCUCAACUGAGGAAUUGCCUUUGAAACUGCCAGGCUCGAGGCCGGGAGGGGGUAGCGGAAUUCCCAGUGUAGCGGUGAAAUGCGUAGAUACUGGGAGGAACACCAGUGGCGAAGGCGGCUACCUGGACCGGUACUGACACUGAGGCGCGAAAGCGUGGGGAGCAAACAGG